rnacentral:rRNA from 1 species
GAUGAACGCUGGCGGCGUGCUUAACACAUGCAAGUCGAACGCUGAAGCUCCCAGCUUGCUGGGGGUGGGUGAGUGGCGAACGGGUGAGUACCACGUGAGGAACCUGCCCUGAACUUUGGGAUAAGCCCGGGAAACUGGGUCUAAUACCGAAUAGGACUGACCAUCGCAUGGUGGUUGGUGGAAAGCUUUUUGCGGUUUGGGAUGGUCUCGCGGCCUAUCAGCUUGUUGGUGGGGUAAUGGCCUACCAAGGCUCUGACGGGUAGCCGGCCUGAGAGGGUGACCGGCCACACUGGGACUGAGACACGGCCCAG